GGGUUGUGAGGUUAAGCGACUAAGCGUACACGGUGGAUGCCCUGGCAGUCAGAGGCGAUGAAGGACGUGCUAAUCUGCGAAAAGCGUCGGUAAGGUGAUAUGAACCGUUACAGCCGGCGAUGUCCGAAUGGGGAAACCCAGUGCAAUUCGUUGCACUAUCGUUAACUGAAUACAUAGGUUAACGAGGCGAACCGGGGGGAACUGAAACAUCUAAGUACCCCGAGGAAAAGAAAUCAACCGAGAUUCCCCCAGUAGCGGCGAGCGAACGGGGAGCAGCCCAGAGUCUGAAUCAGCUUGUGUGUUAGUGGAACGGUCUGGAAAGUCCGACGGUACAGGGUGAUAGUCCCGUACACCAAAAUGCACAGGCUGUGAACUCGAAGAGUAGGGCGGGACACGUGGUAUCCUGUCUGAAUAUGGGGGGACCAUCCUCCAAGGCUAAAUACUCCUGACUGACCGAUAGUGAACCAGUACCGUGAGGGAAAGGCGAAAAGAACCCCGGCGAGGGGAGUGAAAAAGAACCUGAAACCGUGUACGUACAAGCAGUGGGAGCACCUUCGGGUGUGACUGCGUACCUUUUGUAUAAUGGGUCAGCGACUUAUAUUCUGUAGCAAGGUUAACCGUAUAGGGGAGCCGCAGGGAAACCGAGUCUUAACUGGGCGUUAAGUUGCAGGGUAUAGACCCGAAACCCGGUGAUCUAGCCAUGGGCAGGUUGAAGGUUGGGUAACACUAACUGGAGGACCGAACCGACUAAUGUUGAAAAAUUAGCGGAUGACUUGUGGCUGGGGGUGAAAGGCCAAUCAAACCGGGAGAUAGCUGGUUCUCCCCGAAAGCUAUUUAGGUAGCGCCUCGUGAAUUCAUCUUCGGGGGUAGAGCACUGUUUCGGCUAGGGGGUCAUCCCGACUUACCAACCCGAUGCAAACUACGAAUACCGAAGAAUGUUAUCACGGGAGACACACGGCGGGUGCUAACGUCCGUCGUGAAGAGGGGAAACAACCCAGACCGCCAGCUAAGGUCCCAAAGUCAUGGUUAAGUGGGAAACGAUGUGGGAAGGCACAGACAGCCAGGAUGUUGGCUUAGAAGCAGCCAUCAUUUAAAGAAAGCGUAAUAGCUCACUGGUCGAGUCGGCCUGCGCGGAAGAUGUAACGGGGCUAAACCAUGCACCGAAGCUGCGGCAGCGACACUAUGUGUUGUUGGGUAGGGGAGCGUUCUGUAAGCCUGCGAAGGUGACCUGUGAGGGUUGCUGGAGGUAUCAGAAGUGCGAAUGCUGACAUAAGUAACGAUAAAGCGGGUGAAAAGCCCGCUCGCCGGAAGACCAAGGGUUCCUGUCCAACGUUAAUCGGGGCAGGGUGAGUCGACCCCCUAAGGCGAGGCCGAAAGGCGUAGUCGAUGGGAAACAGGUUAAUAUUCCUGUACUUGGUGUUACUGCGAAGGGGGGACGGAGAAGGCUAUGUUAGCCGGGCGACGGUUGUCCCGGUUUAAGCAUGUAGGCUGGUUAUCCAGGCAAAUCCGGAUAAUCAAGGCUGAGGUGUGAUGACGAGGCACUACGGUGCUGAAGUAACAAAUGCCCUGCUUCCAGGAAAAGCCUCUAAGCAUCAGGUAACAUCAAAUCGUACCCCAAACCGACACAGGUGGUCAGGUAGAGAAUACCAAGGCGCUUGAGAGAACUCGGGUGAAGGAACUAGGCAAAAUGGUGCCGUAACUUCGGGAGAAGGCACGCUGGUGUGUAGGUGAAGUCCCUGCGGAUGGAGCUGAGACCAGUCGAAGAUACCAGCUGGCUGCAACUGUUUAUUAAAAACACAGCACUGUGCAAACACGAAAGUGGACGUAUACGGUGUGACGCCUGCCCGGUGCCGGAAGGUUAAUUGAUGGGGUUAUCCGUAAGGAGAAGCUCUUGAUCGAAGCCCCGGUAAACGGCGGCCGUAACUAUAACGGUCCUAAGGUAGCGAAAUUCCUUGUCGGGUAAGUUCCGACCUGCACGAAUGGCGUAAUGAUGGCCAGGCUGUCUCCACCCGAGACUCAGUGAAAUUGAACUCGCUGUGAAGAUGCAGUGUACCCGCGGCAAGACGGAAAGACCCCGUGAACCUUUACUAUAGCUUGACACUGAACAUUGAGCCUUGAUGUGUAGGAUAGGUGGGAGGCUUUGAAGCGUGGACGCCAGUCUGCGUGGAGCCAACCUUGAAAUACCACCCUUUAAUGUUUGAUGUUCUAACGUUGGCCCCUUACCGGGGUUGCGGACAGUGUCUGGUGGGUAGUUUGACUGGGGCGGUCUCCUCCCAAAGCGUAACGGAGGAGCACGAAGGUUAGCUAAUCCUGGUCGGACAUCAGGAGGUUAGUGCAAUGGCAUAAGCUAGCUUGACUGCGAGCGUGACGGCGCGAGCAGGUGCGAAAGCAGGUCAUAGUGAUCCGGUGGUUCUGAAUGGAAGGGCCAUCGCUCAACGGAUAAAAGGUACUCCGGGGAUAACAGGCUGAUACCGCCCAAGAGUUCAUAUCGACGGCGGUGUUUGGCACCUCGAUGUCGGCUCAUCACAUCCUGGGGCUGAAGUAGGUCCCAAGGGUAUGGCUGUUCGCCAUUUAAAGUGGUACGCGAGCUGGGUUUAGAACGUCGUGAGACAGUUCGGUCCCUAUCUGCCGUGGGCGCUGGAGAAUUGAGGGGGGCUGCUCCUAGUACGAGAGGACCGGAGUGGACGCAUCACUGGUGUUCGGGUUGUCAUGCCAAUGGCACUGCCCGGUAGCUAAAUGCGGAAGAGAUAAGUGCUGAAAGCAUCUAAGCACGAAACUUGCCCCGAGAUGAGUUCUCCCUGAGACUUUAAGUCUCCUGAAGGAACGUUAAAGACGAUGACGUUGAUAGGCCGGGUGUGUAAGCGCAGCGAUGCGUUGAGCUAACCGGUACUAAUGAACCGUGAGGCUUAACCUUACAACGCCGAAG
rnacentral:rRNA from 1 species